AGCGAACGCUGGCGGCAGGCCUAACACAUGCAAGUCGAACGAACUCUUCGGAGUUAGUGGCGGACGGGUGAGUAACACGUGGGAACGUGCCUUUUGGUUCGGAAUAACUCAGGGAAACUUGUGCUAAUACUGAAUGUGCCCUUCGGGGGAAAGAUUUAUCGCCAUUAGAGCGGCCCGCGUCUGAUUAGCUAGUUGGUGAGGUAACGGCUCACCAAGGCGACGAUCAGUAGCUGGUCUGAGAGGAUGACCAGCCACACUGGGACUGAGACACGGCCCAGACUCCUACGGGAGGCAGCAGUGGGGAAUCUUGCGCAAUGGGCGAAAGCCUGACGCAGCCAUGCCGCGUGAAUGAUGAAGGUCUUAGGAUUGUAAAAUUCUUUCACCGGGGACGAUAAUGACGGUACCCGGAGAAGAAGCCCCGGCUAACUUCGUG
rnacentral:rRNA from 1 species